UACGUAGGGUGCGAGCGUUGUCCGGAAUUAUUGGGCGUAAAGGGCUCGUAGGCGGUUUGUCGCGUCGGGAGUGAAAACCUUGGGCUUAACUCAGGGCUUGCUUUCGAUACGGGCAGACUAGAGGUAUGCAGGGGAGAACGGAAUUCCUGGUGUAGCGGUGAAAUGCGCAGAUAUCUGGAGGAAUACCGGUGGCGAAGGCGGCAUCCUGGACCGGCAUUGACGCUGAGGAGCGAAAGCCAGGGGAGCAAACGGG
rnacentral:rRNA from 1 species